rnacentral:SRP_RNA from 1 species
GGGCGGGUCCGGCGCGGCGGAAAUCUCCAAACCCCGUCAGGUCCGAGAGGAAGCAGCGGUAAGGGGUCCCUUCCGGGUGCCGCCGGGAACCCUGCCCGG